AAUGGCAUUUGCUGUGGUUCUUUACAUAUUGACCUUCAAAGACGACUCAUUCCUCUCCAGCUCGCAUCAGCCGGUAGUAGGUCACGUAUCUUUGGUACACUGAACCCAGACUGGCUACCUGUCAGUCGUGAAAAGUGACAGCACCUGUCGGCGUCAUUAUCGCCACGGGCCCCAUAUCCCUUAUUAGGGUUUGUGGCCUCCUAAAUAAGGUGCCGGCCUCAUCACUUUCCCCAAUCCAGAACGGAACACAAAUUCUCUGCAGAGCUUUCCUCACAACCGCGUUUCUGAAUCCCGUAGGAGCUUCCAUUCCAUCACACAUAAACCCACCCCGCCGCUGCAAGAAUCAUCCAUGCCAGUCUUGGAAUCCAGAUCUCACAAGUCAUAGAUGUGGAUCCGUUGUCCAGAUUCGAAUCCGGAUGAACGGAACACAAUAUUGUUCCGUUUGUCUGGAUUUGAUACCGGGUUUGCGGAUCUGGCGAUUUUGCAUGCGGAUGAGCGGAUUCAGACUCGAAUCGUGUUGUGGAAGUUGUUUGCCGGAGCAUGCCAAAGAUCACAGGUAUCAUGGAUUCACUUGAGGAAGAAGAAGCAACAGGAGGAGUUCAUAUGUCUGUUUUUAUUUGCACAACUAGUUGUGUGCUCUCCAGCAACUUCUAUAGAUGCAACUAUACUAGAACAAUACAAGAAUCUGGGGCAAUGGUCUACUUUGUAAAGGGGAGGGGUUGAUGUGGGCUUUCCCAGAACUGUUUUUGAUUUUUUUGUUUAGUCAACAGCUUAGAGCAGCAUCAUAUGCUUUUUAUUUUUCAGAUAAUUUGCCUUCCUUGUUCUUUGCUGAGACAUUUUUUAUGUGCUAGUACAACUACUAGAAGCAUGUCCUUCCGACCUGACUUCAAUUAUGGUUUUAGGGUUAUAGAUGCAUGCAAUGUCAAAUCAAUCGCCAAGCAACAUUCAAUAGUUUAUGGUGAACAAUUUGUUUUUUGAAAGUCCUUGAUAAACAAUUUGGAGGUGGGGGUGGUGGAAGAAGUACUUCAAGGAGCGUUGUACAACCUAGCAGCACAAUCCCCACCGUGGAGAGGAUAGGGGUGAUGGUCAGAGUCGGUUUGCUAUUUUGCCUUGCUUUUUGCACUUUUUAGCCUAUAGGAAGCAAUUUCUUAGUUUGAGUUUUUACCCUGACACGGUAGAUGGGACGUUAUGAAAUUGCGGUUUUACUCCUUACGUGGCAAACAGUGUGGACCAGAGGUUAGACAUGCGGGAAACUCGCAGGAAACCGAAACCUUUUUAAGAAACGAGGGCUAUGCUUACCCUAUUUGGGUGUGCGCUCUGGGCACUCUAAUAGUGCACGAGCACCCCCUAGCAACGUCCAAAAAAAAAGUCUGAGGAAAGAAACUCUCGAGCGAGUCGAGAAAUGGAGGCGGCAGCAUCGCCACUCCCGGCCUUCCGCCCCUCCACCGCUGCAGCUUUCCUCUCGCCCCGCGCUGCUCACUAGCUUGGCGAUUAGCAACCGCUGACCACUGUUGUGCCGCUGGCGCCCUCUGUCGCGGUAAGCUCCGAACCCUAGUCACGGACUAGCUUUGAGUUCCUGUCAUCCUAAUUGCUGGCGUGAGCCUAUUCAGCAGUCAGGUGCUGCCUUGACAAAUCGGUCUCCGUCUUAGCUUUGAGUUCCUGUCAUCCUAAUUGCUGUUCUGCAAUGCUAGAUUCGUGGUUAUUCGUUGUAGGCCAUGGCUGCUGUGCUGUGCACCGUAUGUGUUUGUGGUAAUGCCUGUUCCUUAAGAAGGUCUUGUAAAUCUAGUCGGAUGGCAAUGCCAUUAGUUGUUUCUCUUAUCCUAAGUGUUGGCGUGCACUGUUUGUUUUGUGGUAUUUACUUGCUUAAUAAAGUCCUAUAAAUCUGAUUGUGUGCCAAUGCCCUUGCACUUGUUUCUGUCAACCGAACUGUUGUUGAUGUGUGCCCUAUCUGUCUUGUGGUAAGGCCUUACUUAAUGAUUUUCCGUAAAUCUAGUUGGAUGGCAAUGCCAUCAGUUGUUUCUGUUAUCGAAACUGUUGGCAUGCACGGAUUGUCUUGUGGUAUUUCCUUGCUUAUGAUUGUGUGCCAAUGCCCUUGUACUUGUUUCUGUCAACCCAACUAUUGUUGAUGUGUGGCCCAUUUGUCUUGUGGUAUGUCGAAAGCCUAUAAACGGAGGGAGGACCAUGCGACGGCAGAAGAAUCAAGAAAGUAUCCCGUGCAGGAAGGUUAUCUGGGCAAAGAUGGCGGAGCAUUAUAUUCGCACAUCUGUUCACUAUUUGUCUAUCUCUUCGGUCACGAUUGAGGGUACCAAAAUGGGAAUUUGUGCAGUUCCUGUCACCAAGCAAGUCACCUUUUGCAUUUUUUGUUUUGUGGUUUAUACCAUACCUAGUUUAUAUGUUUCCGUUUCAUUUUGUACGUAGAGAGAAAGCUCGUAUCAUAUCAUCCAAUUGUGUCACCAUGAAAAUCAAAAUGGUCCUAUUCUUGAGCUACCGGUCCGUGAGGAAGACAAUUAUGUCACGGGGUUCCACGUUCUCAGACCUGAUGAUGAUGUCAUCACGACGCUUUGGUAUGCUUGUAAGGGUGCCCAUCUUCCAAACAAUAUAUUCCGGAAUGUCAUCAAUUCUGGCUUUGAUAUUGGCUACUCCAAACUCGAGAAGACCCAAAUUGGCAAGGGAAUACUGCCGAAAGCUGUCAAGUAUCUAUUGGGGUUCCCGGAAAACCCUGUAACCUGCGAUGAUGGCGAAGUCUAUUUGGAGACUUUGUUCUUCAUGUUCGGUGAAGGGAAUCGGUUUCCAUUUGCCCAAAAGAUGGUCGUAAACAAUAUAGGGAAGAAGCAGCCGGUGAGCCCCACUGGCAUUAUGGUCGCUGUGAUCAGGGCAUGGUCUGAUAUAUCCAAGGGGAUAAUGGCGCUAUACUUAGCCGUGCUGGAGAUAGAACUGGGAAUAGGGAGCUCCGAAAGAGACAUAGAGAAAUUUGGCUUCACUAUGCGACAAGCUGAGAAGGUCUUGAAGCGUUACGAGGACCGUUACGGUGAAGUUAUACGGUUCAGAGAUGAAAAUGGUAAAUUCAACUUAAAGAUUUUAGCAGGUGGCCAGCUAUGCAUGUUGAAGCACGAACAAGAAGUCGUUAAGAAAAUACUUAUGCGCCUGGGUGGAUACAAAGGUGUUUUCCCGGAGUAGGUUUACUGCACCAUUUGUCCUUUCUUACCUCAGGUGACCUGGCAUUGGUGACAGAUUGUAGGUUGUCCUCUCAGUGACUGAUUUAGAUUGGCGGAUGGUGGCUGACUGUGGACCAUCUGCUCUAGAUGGCUACUUUAGAUGAGCGUUCAAUGUGGUGGUGUUAGAAACACAGUUACACUGAGAUAGUCUCUGCACCAUGUGUACGUACGUUGCUUUACGGUCUCUAUAUUUUGCUCGUCUGAGAAUGUCAUGUCUCAGUCAACUUUAGUCAACUUUUUUUUUGUUGAGAGACGAUCUCAGUCGACUGCUGAUAACUAGCAUUGUCUUUUAAACAUGUUUCCUUCUAGGAUAAUUAUUUUCA